rnacentral:misc_RNA from 1 species
AAGAAGCCAUUUCCAUAGAAGCAUAACAUCAAUCAAUUAUCUCCGCGCAUAUUUCAACGUUUAAAACGCAUCCGGAAUUGUUUCGCGAUUGUGCGUGAAAAAUAUCCCAGGGAAGGCCAAGGAACGCUAAUACGUUUACAUGCCUUUGAUUUUGUCUUGAAGCAUUUUGAUUUUGCAUUCUGACUGAUUUUUCUGCGUGGAAUGUAACUUUUCUCGACACAUUUGCUGCACGAUAAGCGAUAAAAAGAAGGGAGGAGCGACAAUAUUUGACCGCCAGCAGCUCCGGCGAAAACCACCAGUGUGUUCCGCUAAUCCCAAUUUCAACUUUGGCAGCAUAUUUAUUAUCGAUCUGCUAGUGCUAUUCCGCCAAUUAUUCUGGAUUUUUAACAUUCUGUUGAUGAAAUUCUAUAGAUAUUUUAAAAUUUGUGCCAACAUUUAACAACUCAAAUUGAAAAUGGCAGCAACAGCAAGACACGACAGAGAGAUGCAACAGAAAGCAAAGAAGAAUUUGAGCAAGAAAGACAUUGAUCCGAUCGAGAAAUUGCGAUGUCAGUGUCUCCUGAGGGGUUCUAAAGGCAUUCUUGGCCUAGGAAGAGUAUUCAAAAUCAUGGAUGACGACGGCAACAAAACCCUCAGCUUUGCAGAAUUUAAGAAAGGAUUAAGAGAUUAUGGAGUGCCAUUGGAGAAACCAGAUGUUGAGAAAAUGUUUAAAGCUUUUGAUUCUGACAAUAGCGGCAGCAUCGACUUUGAUGAGUUCUUGAUUAAACUAAGGCCUCCUAUGUCACAAGCAAGGAAGGAUGUCAUUCAUCAAGCCUUCCAUAAGCUUGAUAAAACUGGAGACAAUAUCGUAACAGAAGAGGAUCUUAAAGGGGUUUACAACGUGAAGAAACAUCCUAAAUACCUCAACGGAGAAUUAACGGAAAGUCAGAUCUUUAGGAGUUUCCUCGACACGUUUGAUAACCCCAAUGAAAAAGAUGGAAAGAUCACCCAAGAGGAAUUUGAGAACUACUAUGCCGGUGUCAGUGCCUCCAUUGAUAAUGAUGCCUAUUUUAUACUGAUGAUGAGAACGGCUUGGAAGCUCUAGCACUCACUUCCUCCUCGUCUUCAUCUCUUUGCUAUUCCGUCUCUCCAACGUUCGUUUAUUACCCAAGAAGAGUUCCUUAACUACUAUGCUGGGGUGAGUGCUUCGAUCGACAAUGACUCGUACUUUACCCUCAUGAUGAGGACCGCCUG